AAUUCUCUACUUGCGAAAAUAUGCCUCUCUUGUCGAGAGUAAUAUUUUUGUUCCGUUUGCCGUGGAGACCCAGUGGCGAUGGCGU